rnacentral:lncRNA from 12 species
UGCAGGUGUGUGUGGUUUGGGCUGGUGGCAGGGAAUGGUGUUGCCAUGGAAGGCAACUCAGAUUCCUGAGGAUGAGGAGAAGGGAAAGUUUUGGCUGUGAACCCAGGUGUGUGCACACAGUGGGCAGAAGGUGUUUCCUGCCUUGGAUGCACAAUCCAAGGGCUGCCACGGCUGGGGAGCUUGCAGGGCAGCUGGCAGAGGCAUGAAAACAGGCAGUGGUGCAGUGAGGGAGGGGAGUUUUCCAAAAAAAGCACUUUUGGUGGAAACAGAGACUUCUGCUCCUGAUGAGAUCCUGCUGAUGAAUAAUCAGCUCCAUAUCU